AAAAAAAAACAACAACGACGACGACGACGACGACGACGUCGCCUUGCGCCAAGUUUCUUUUCGUUUCGCUUGGGUUUUGGAUUCGCAUUAACAAAAUCAACAACAACAACAACAACAAAAACAACAAGAACAAGAACAAAUUCAAUGAAGCAGCGCAACCAAAAAGGAAAUCCCAUCUAAUAAACAUUUGGGAUAUUUUUGGCAUAACUAAGGGAAACACAAAUUUCGCAACAACAAAAAA
rnacentral:sRNA from 13 species